AGCUCAGUCGGUAGGGCAUUGGCCUGCUAAGCUUAAGGUCGUCAGUUCAAUUCUUCCUAC
rnacentral:tRNA from 12 species